GUUAGCCUAUGAUGAGCCGCAGAAUAUUUUGCCUACAUUGUUUGACUAAAGGAACAUGAUAUUAUCUGCAAAGUUCUGAGGUUAUC
rnacentral:snoRNA from 1 species